GCACAGCGAAAGGUGCUUGCACCUUUCAAGUGAGUGGCGAACGGGUGAGUAACACGUGGACAACCUGCCUCAAGGCUGGGGAUAACAUUUGGAAACAGAUGCUAAUACCGAAUAAAACUUAGUGUCGCAUGACAAAAAGUUAAAAGGCGCUUCGGCGUCACCUAGAGAUGGAUCCGCGGUGCAUUAGUUAGUUGGUGGGGUAAAGGCCUACCAAGACAAUGAUGCAUAGCCGAGUUGAGAGACUGAUCGGCCACAUUGGGACUGAGACACGGCCCAAACUCCUACGGGAGGCUGCAGUAGGGAAUCUUCCACAAUGGGCGAAAGCCUGAUGGAGCAACGCCGCGUGUGUGAUGAAGGCUUUCGGGUCGUAAAGCACUGUUGUAUGGGAAGAACAGCUAGAAUAGGAAAUGAUUUUAGUUUGACGGUACCAUACCAGAAAGGGACGGCUAAAUACGUGCCAGCAGCCGCGGUAAUACGUAUGUCCCGAGCGUUAUCCGGAUUUAUUGGGCGUAAAGCGAGCGCAGACGGUUUAUUAAGUCUGAUGUGAAAGCCCGGAGCUCAACUCCGGAAUGGCAUUGGAAACUGGUUAACUUGAGUGCAGUAGAGGUAAGUGGAACUCCAUGUGUAGCGGUGGAAUGCGUAGAUAUAUGGAAGAACACCAGUG
rnacentral:rRNA from 1 species